GUCUAGCCUGCUCACUGACAAAGAUGUUAAAUAGCCGCGGUAUUUUGACCGUGCAAAGGUAGCAUAAUCAUUAGUUUUUUAAUUGGAAACUUGUAUGAAUGGUUGGACAAAGAAAAAGCUGUCUCUUUUAUUAAAAUUGAAAUUAACUUCUAAGUGAAAAGGCUUAGAUUUUCUAGAGGGACGAUAAGACCCUAUAAAGCUUUAUAAAUUAAGUAAGUUAGAACAAAUUUUAUAGAAUAAAGGUAAAUUUAAUAUAUUUAUUUGGUUGGGGCGACAAUGGUAUAAAUUAAAUAACUGCUAUUAAAAUUAAACAAUUAUAUUUGAUUAAAAUUAUAAUUGAUCCUUAUUAUGGAUUAAAAGAUCAAGUUACUUUAGGGAUAACAGCGUAAUUUCUUUUAAGAGUUCUUAUCAAAGAAGAAGUUUGCGACCUCGAUGUUGAAUUAAAAUGUCUUUAUAGUGCAGAAGCUAUAAAAGAAGGUCUGUUCGACCUUUAAUUUUUUACAUGAUUUGAGU
rnacentral:rRNA from 1 species